UCUUUUGAGUGAUGAAAGGGUCUGUGAAAAAAAGUUCUCAUAAAAUGUCUUUUAUUUGUUUCUGUCUCCAGGAUACAGUCUUAAUGUCUAUAUUAUGUGGCCUUGAAGAUAAUAUUCUUGUUAACAAUUUUAUAGAAUAUUAUCUCGUAAGUGUUGAAGAAAUGCAAGUGUCAAACAUUCAGCCAAAUUGGAUUCCAAGUGUCCUGUGAUGGAACUCACCUUAGUGGAGUCUACAUUAUGCAUCUUCAUGCCCUGUAUCCCAGCACUUGCAACCUACUUAUGUUUGAUGGUCAACAAUAGAGUAAAUAAAUAUGCAUACAUAUAAAUAUAUAUCA
rnacentral:lncRNA from 1 species